GACAAACCAGCCUUACAGUAGUAAGAAAAAAAGAAAGAAAAAAGCUCAUCUUGAUGUAAAGUCGAUCCCUGGCUUUUGACAUAGGAUUACCUUCUGGAUGUUCUCAGUCCCUCAGAGAUUCAUCAUCAGAAUGCAAAGUUGGAUUCUUGACAAAACAAAUAUGUCAGAAGAUAAGGGUAUAAAUGACUAGUAUUAUUUUUAUUACUACCAAACAGAGUAUAUUAUUAUUCAAAAAUUAUUCAUAAC
rnacentral:lncRNA from 1 species